rnacentral:rRNA from 1 species
AACGAACGCUGGCGGCAGGCUUAACACAUGCAAGUCGAACGCACCUUUCGGGGUGAGUGGCAGACGGGUGAGUAACGCGUGGGAAUCUACCCUUCUCUACGGGAUAGCUACGGGAAAACGGAAUUAAUACAGUAACCGUCCUGAGGGAGAAAGAUUUAUCGGGGAAGGAUGAGCCCGCGUUGGAUUAGCUAGUUGGUGGGGUAAAGGCCUACCAAGGCGACGAUCCAUAGCUGGUCUAAGAGGAUGAUCAGCCACAUUGGGACUGAGACACGGCCCAAACUCCUACGGGAGGCAGCAGUGGGGAAUAUUGGACAAUGGGCGCAAGCCUGAUCCAGCCAUGGCGCGUGAGUGAUGAAGGCCCUAGGGUUGUAAAGCUCUUUCAGUGGGGACGAUAAUGACGGUACCCACAGAAGAAGCCCCGGCUAACUUCGUGCCAGCCGCCGCGGUAA